rnacentral:rRNA from 1 species
UGAGGAAUAUUGGGCAAUGGACGCAAGUCUGACCCAGCCAUGCCGCGUGAAGGAUGAAGGCGUUCUGCGUUGUAAACUUCUUUUAUCUGGGAAGAAACCAUCUUUUUCUAAGGGUGUUGACGGUACCAGAGGAAUAAGCACCGGCUAACUCCGUGCCAGCAGCCGCGGUAAUACGGAGGGUGCAAGCGUUAUCCGGAUUCACUGGGUUUAAAGGGAGCGUAGGUGGGUCUGUAAGUCAGUGGUGAAAUCUCCGAGCUUAACUCGGAAACUGCCAUUGAUACUAUAGGUCUUGAAUUAUCUGGAGGUAAGCGGAAUAUGUCAUGUAGCGGUGAAAUGCUUAGAUAUGACAUAGAACACCAAUUGCGAAGGCAGCUUGCUACGGAUAUAUUGACGCUGAGGCACGAAAGCGUGGGGAUCAAACAGG